rnacentral:rRNA from 1 species
GAAAGGAUCACUCGAUGCCGGCAGGGCAAACUGCCGCUUGUCAUUCCAGAAGGGAAGUUAAGGCCGGAGGCACCUCUUCUUGCUGCAAAGUUCGCAACUGAAUGCAACAUCACAGUUAGACACCAUAUGCCCGUGUUUAAGCACUGGAAGGAUUACAAGGACCCAGAUGGACAUGUCCGAGAUGGGAUCUUCAGGAACUUUGUAGGAAAAGUUGGUAUGGACGUUGAUGCUGUGCCAGUUAGGAAGGCUUGUACUGAAAUGCUGAAACAUGCGACUCGCCAACAACGAUAUAGGCUCAAGAAAGAGUAUUUUGACCCUCACCCACUCCAUUUGGUGACGAGAACGUCUCCUGUCCCCUCGAUGACUGAUGAGCAGUGGAAUGAGCUAGUGGAAAGCUGGAAGGAUCCCAAAAAUAUGGGGAUAUGUGAAACUAACAAAAAUAAUCGAGCUCAAGUUAAGUUUCACCAAACCACUGGCUCGCGCAGCUACCCUGUGCACUGUGAUAAUCUGGGAGACAAAUACAAAGAUAAAGAACCCACUGCAUUGGAUUUAUUCAAGGAGUGCCACUACAGCAAGAAAAAGAAAAGCUACACCGGUGUUGUCCAAGCUGCA